AAGUCGUAACAAGGUUUCCGUAGGUGAACCUGCGGAAGGAUCAUUAUCAUAACGUAUCCACGUAUAAACCAAUCUUUAAUGUGAAUUGUAAAUGUUUAACCCUUUGGUAAUGAUAUAUGGUAUUGCGAAAGCAAUUCGUUAUCAAAGGUUGUAAUCAUAACCAUUUAACUUACUUUAUUAACCAAUUGAACCGAUUAACUUAAUUGUUAUUCAUAUUUCUUUAUUGUGAACUGAAUUGUUCUUUACUGCUUUUGUAACAAAAGGUAGAAAGAAUUAUAUUUACGAAACAUAAAUUAUGAACAACUCUUAGCAACGGAUAUCUUGGUUCUC
rnacentral:misc_RNA from 1 species